GACCGUGACGUAGCUGAUAAGAGAUAAUGAAAUUGAAGGAGUUGCCUAGAGAAGAGAGAAGCCGUUUUUCUCUGAGCUGGAGUAUGCUCCCUACAAGCUGAAGAUAAGAGAGCUGCAGGGAGGCCAGCUUAUAGGUCAAGAAGCAGGAAGAAAGGGCCUUAGGAUAAAUAGCCAGCUCCAGCUUAUCCUAGACAGCAAGGCUCCAUCCUAUUGUUGAUUCUGGGAGUAAAAUGGUUUCCCUGGUUACUGGAGCCUGUUUAUUCAGUCAGGCCAAAGAGGCAAGUAUGUUCACACCAUGAGAUGGACAAGCAGAAAUGACUCACUGUGUUUUCCAACUGUACUCAAGACCUGGCUCUAUACGCCCUCCUCCUCUGCUUGAGCAGAAGGCGAAAGAGGUUGUGGAGACUGUGGGAUUUGGCCAUUGAACCUUGAAGGCAAAUGCUCAUUGACUUCACUAUAACAUCUGUGGGCGCUUGGCCAAGAAAGGCUAGUUAGGACCAGCCUUUAUGCAAACACAGCUGAGGUAUUUAUCCUGCCUCUCUACAUCACAAAAGAAGCAUGGAGAACAAUGGAGAAUAAUAGAGGUCAAGUGGAGCAGGAACUGCCCAGAAUUUGGAGAAGAGAUGCAUAUCAGUCCUGGCCUUGAUCAUUGGGCCACAUAUACUAUAUCCAAGUUGAUAUCUUCAAUGUAGGGAAAGUUUUCUUGCCUUUCCCAUGGGCUCCCAAGCCAUUAACAAUUCCUCCAUUCAAAACAUUUUCAUUCACAUUUCUGAUUCAUUUUGGGCUACAGGAACAACAUAUGUUGGGUACUUCUAGGGAGGAGAGCCAUUAUAGGUGGAUGUAGAUCUUACAAAUAGAGAGGUAGAGAGCUUUCUCAAGACCUUUGGACCAAGCAAAUCACAUCACAAGGUGUACCUUAUGCUAAGUGCCUGAUAUCUAAGACCCUCCACUAGCUGUCAGGCAGGCAGCAUGCUUACAACAUGACAGCUAGUCAUUCAAGGUCAAGAAGAACAUGAAGACCAGCCCACCCCUGAAAAUGACUGGGAUCAGGCUUAGCCUCACAAUACUCUUAUUCUGUCCCUAACAGUGUUUAAAAACACACUGCCUUAAGCAACAAGAAGAACUGACCAUGUGUUCACAACAGUUCAUUUCUUACCCUCUGCUGUGGCUUGACCAAACUGUAGUCAGGCUUCUCUCCUCUACAAAGAUUCCUAGACUUUGGCUCUCCUUCGAGUCUAAGCAAGCACUGAACAUCUGUAACAGCUCAUCCCGAAAAUCAACUGAUCAUAGAAAAAAAAAAUAGUUCCUGUUGAAAUAUCCUCAUUUUGCCACCUGCUCCCCCACAUUCCAUGCCCUUCUCCUCCACAAAGGUUUGGCUUGUCUUUCUCCUUCUGUAAAAAAAGAAGAGCUUCUUUCUAUUUGAUUUUGAGACACUUGCAGAUAUCUGAGGUUGGCAUAUUCCCCCAUUGCAAUAAUCUUUUUGAGUAAA